rnacentral:rRNA from 1 species
CCUACGUGGGGCAGCAGUGGGGAAUAUUGCGCAAUGGGCGAAAGCCUGACGCAGCGACGCCGCGUGAGGGAUGAAGGUCUUCGGAUCGUAAACCUCUGUCAGCAGGGAAGAACGGUCACUGUGCUAAUCAGCAGUGAAUUGACGGUACCUGCAAAGGAAGCACCGGCUAACUCCGUGCCAGCAGCCGCGGUAAUACGGAGGGUGCGAGCGUUAAUCGGAAUUACUGGGCGUAAAGCGCUCGUAGGCGGUAUGUCAAGUCAAGGGUGAAAUCCCCGCGCUCAACGUGGGAACUGCCUUUGAAACUGGCAAACUGGAGUGGGUGAGAGGAUAGUGGAAUGCCAGGUGUAGGAGUGAAAUCCGUAGAUAUCUGGAGGAACAUCAGUGGCGAAGGCGACUAUCUGGCACAUAACUGACGCUGAGGAGCGAAAGCGUGGGUAGCAAACAGGAUUAGAUACCCUAGUAGUC